rnacentral:rRNA from 1 species
GACGAACGCUGGCGGCGUGCUUAACACAUGCAAGUCGAACGAAAAGAGGGAAAGAUCUUGCUCUUUACGGAAUUGAGUGGCAAACGGGUGAGUAACACGUAAACAACCUGCCUGCAGGAGGGGGACAACAGACGGAAACGACUGCUAAUACCGAAUAAGUUACAAGAGCGGCAUGGCCCAUGGAAGAAAAGGUGGCCUCUACCUGUGAGCUAUCGCCUGAAGAGGGGUUUGCGGCUGAUGAGCUGGUUGGAGGGGGAACGGCCCAACAAGGCGACGAUCAGUAGGCGGUCUGAGAGGAUGGACGGCCACACUGGAACUGAGACACGGUCCAGACUCCUACGGGAGGCAGCAGUGGGGAAUCUUCCGCCAUGGGCGAAAGCCUUAACGGGCAAAGCCGCGUGAGUGAUGACGGCUUUCGGGUUCUAAAACUUUGUGAUCCGGGAAGAAAAGGAAGAGUGAGAAGCAAUACAUGUAUUGACGGUACCGGAAAAGAAAGCCACGGCUAACUACGUG